AUUCAUUUAGUAUAUAAAGUAUAUUUAACUUCCAAUUAAAAGGAUUAAUUAAAAUGAAUA
rnacentral:tRNA from 1 species